UGGGGGAUCGUCUAACGGUAGGACUGCAGACUCUGACUCUGCCUAUUGGGGUUCGAAUCCCUAUCCCCCAGCCA
rnacentral:tRNA from 1 species